UACAGAGGCCUCGAGCGUUAAUCGGAAUCACUGGGCUUAAAGGGUGCGUAGGCGGCGCUGCAAGUGCCUUGUGAAAUCCCAUCGCUUAACGAUGGAACUGCUCGGUAGACUGCAGUGCUUGAGGUUGGUAGGGGCUGCCGGAACUCUAGGUGGAGCGGUGAAAUGCGUAGAUAUCUAGAGGAACGCCCAAGGCGAAGGCAGCCCCCUGGGUCAACACUGACGCUCAUGCACGAAAGCGUGGGGAGCAAACAGG
rnacentral:rRNA from 1 species